AGGCGCUUUCUUAUCGUUGGAUUCAGAGAAGUUGAGCGCGAUGAGCGGGAUCUUGUUGAUGGUGCUGUAUCUGUUCAGAUUGGAGUCUGAGGUGGAUCCCAGCAGACUGGACUUCAGAUGGUUGAACGGACCUGAUGAACUGAAAGAGGCCGUGCUGGUUGACAGCUGAUGGAAGUCAUUCAGCCUGCAGCAUUGAUCUGCUGUCCCGGUGCAUCAGUCCCGGUCGAUGGGACGUGAAGAGGAACUGCCUGUACAAGUCUGAAUCACAACCACCUCAAUGCAGGAAGGUCCAGACUAGAGAUUUAUUGAAAUAGCAGCAAAUGUUCUGUGUGAUCUAAUCAAGACAUCGAUAACAGCUGAGAGGAGAAAUCAGGCUGAAAAUGGAUAAUCACGACACGACACGGCAUGACGUCCCAGACACUCUGAUGAUGCUCUGAUCUGAAGUCUGAAUGCGCUUUUGAGCAAAGAUAACAGGCGUUUGGAGUUGGCGCUCAGUCCUUCGAUGUCGUGAACGGAGGAGGCCCGUCUCCUGCUGCACACGCCGUCUCUGGAGAUGGACUGGGCCAGGCAGGUGCUGGACUGUGCUUGAGACGG